rnacentral:RNase_MRP_RNA from 1 species
CCUAGGCUACAGAUGGGGGACUUGGUUCCUUAUCUGUGUCUAGGGGGAAGUCCCCAGACCAUGGGCAGAGAGUGCCGCAUGGGCACCCAAGCAGACUUCCCUUGCUUCUCACUGUCAAUCUGCCACAAAGCAAGCGAGAUUACAGAAGCCAGGGCAUGGUUAUGGUGGUACAGACAAAAGGGGGGAGUUAUCUG